rnacentral:tRNA from 1 species
GGAGGAGUACCCAAGAGGCUGAAGGGGCGGCUUUGCUAAAGCUGUAGGUCGGGGCAACCUGGCGCGAGGGUUCAAAUCCCUCCUCCUCCGCCA